GCGCCCGUAGCUCAGGUGGAUAGAGCGCUGCCCUCCGGAGGCAGAGGUCUCAGGUUCGAAUCCUGUCGGGCGCGCCA
rnacentral:tRNA from 1 species